rnacentral:rRNA from 1 species
UACGUAGGGUGCGAGCGUUAAUCGGAAUUACUGGGCGUAAAGGGUGCGCAGGCGGUCUCGUAAGUUGGGUGUGAAAGCCCCGGGCUUAACCUGAGAAUGGCAUUCAGGACUGCGAGGCUUUGAGUGCGGCAGAGGGAGGUGGAAUUCCACGUGUAGCAGUGAAAUGCGUAGAGAUGUGGAGGAACACCGAUGGCGAAGGCAGCCUCCUGGGCCAGCACUGACGCUCAUGCACGAAAGCGUGGGGAGCAAACAGG